ensembl:snoRNA
AUCCUUUUGUGGUUCAUAAGCAUGAUGAUUGGGUUUCAGGCUCUUGUGUGAGAUGUGCCUCCCUCAAACAUUGUUAUGACAUCUGCACAUUACCCAUCUGAUG